GUAGAGAUUGAAACAAGGCUUGAAGUUCAUGAAGCAGGGACAGAGGAUUCAAAUCCACAACCAAACAAUGUCGGAGUUGUCUCAUGACUCCUAUCAAAUCUUAAAAGUUUUGAAUAUUUUGGAAAGCAAUUGAAUGUUGAUGAAAGAAGGAAUGAUUUACAAGAGAGAGAGAAAAAAAAGAUGGCGAAUGGAACUCUGGUAAGUACAUGAGUCUAUUCAAUUCAAAUCUAAUUAUUUAUGAACUUUGUUUUGUCUUUUGAGACCUAUUAAACCCAAUUAUAUAUGCUUUUUUUCUUCCUGGAAUCUCACUUGAACUUGAUCAGACAUCGCCUCAAAGGAUACCCAAUGUUCUUUUUACUGUCAAUAUCAAUAUAAAUUUAGUACACUAUUACUAAGACUUUAGAUGACAUAUAAUUUCUAUGUUUUCUCUUUUAAACACUUAGUCAUGUGAUAUGGUGGAAACAAUUAAAAAUUGAGUGUUCUUUAAGAGUUGUUCAGUACAAAUAAGGUGAAUUUUUCUUAAGAGUACCUCAAUAAGAGAAUUAUUAUUUUAGUGAAUUUCAUAGUAUAUGGCUUGAUAGGGAAUAGUUCUCGUUACUUAUUACUAUAAAGAAAUGGCUUGCUGAAAGAUAUGAAUGUAGUAUGGCUUGAUAAUUUUAGAAUAGAAACAAAAAAGAGCAGAGCUUAUUAUUUAUUUUCCGGUUUAUCUCCUACUUCUCUUUUAAGUGUCUACUUUAAAAAAAAUAUUUUUAUUAUCUAAGAAAUUAAAAUAAUAAAAAAAAUUAUUGAAAAUAGUAAUGGUUGAAAUUUAAUAUUGAUGAUACAGCUAUAAAUUAUUAUGUAAUCAAUAUUAAAUUUUCACUGUAAUUGUAAAAACACCUCUAUUUUUAAUUUUUAUUUAAUUGAAGUUUUAUCUCUAAAUACUUAUUAUGACAAAUGUUAUUCAAGUAUCCAAUUAAGCUAUUAGUACUCUUCAAUUGUUUAUAAGAUGUCUCUAUCAUUUCUUUUGUUUUCUUUAUUUCUUUAUUUUCUUUUAUUAUUUGAAGCUUGUUUAAUUUGUCUAAUACAUGUUUAUAAUUAUAUUGAUGUCAGUCGUGCUUCGUACUAAAGAGCAAUGGAAUAUCUUUCUUGAGAAUGUAAUUAUGCAUUGUGUAUGAUAUUAAUUGAAAUUUAUUUAUUUUCCAAAUUCUAAUUGAUUGUUUAUAUGGUUAUGCAUUUGUAGGUCAGAAUUGGUUCCUGCGUAUGUUCGGC
rnacentral:lncRNA from 1 species